GCGGCGCCGUCACCGGAGUACGGCGGAGCCGCCGUGCCGGAAAUGCGAUAUUGGCCGAAAGGGGCCCUGGGCCUAAUUUGGGAUUUUUUGGAAAACGUGCAGGUACCAGUAGUGCGUUUCAGUUCCCCGGAAAAAAUUCAGAAAAAAUUUGGGACAGCCUGUAGGCGCACUGUGAAGCCGUGUUCGGACCCCGAAACGUGUAAGGACCCCUCACCCUAUCUCCUAUCACGGUAUUAAAGUUCAAUAAAUGAUAAAACGGUAUUCCAUGAAUCAACGAAUGUGUGAAAUUGCUUAAGGUCGCUAAUGGAGCCCGAGUCUAGUGUGUUUGUCGGUUAACUGUUAUUUGGCCUGUUUUACAGUUUUAAAUGCAGUAUGAGGUUUGAUGUUUUCAUUUUAUAGUUUCGUGUGCCUAUUGUACUGUUUUAUUGAUUAUGGAUUGAAUGACUGGGAUAUUGAUGUUGUAUGUUGUCUGUUCGGCAUAAAUUACUAUUUUGUUUGUUUGUAUGUAG
rnacentral:lncRNA from 1 species